GACGAACGCUGGCGGCGUGCUUAACACAUGCAAGUCGAACGGAAAGGCCCUGCUUUUGUGGGGUGCUCGAGUGGCGAACGGGUGCGUAACACGUGUGUAACCUGCCCUUGACUUUGGGAUAACUUCAGGAAACUGGGGCUAAUACCGGAUCGGAUCCCCUGCUGCAUGGUGGGGGUUGGAAAUUUUCGGCGGUUGGGGUUGGACUCGCGGCUUAUCAGCUUGUUGGUGGGGGAGUGGCUUACCAAGGCUUUGACGGGUAGCCGGCCUGGGAGGGGGAACGGUCACAUUGGGACUGAGAUACGGACCAGACUCCUACGGGAGGCAGCAGGGGGGAAUAUGGCACAAUGGGCGGAAGCCUGAUGCAGCAACGCCGCGUGCGGGAUGACGGCCUUCGGGUUGUAAACCGCUUUCGCCUGUGACGAAGCGUGAGUGACGGUAAUGGGUAAAGAAGCACCGGCUAACUACGUG
rnacentral:rRNA from 1 species